rnacentral:rRNA from 1 species
GACGAACGCUGGCGGCGUGCCUAAUACAUGCAAGUUGAGCGCUGAAGGUUGGUACUUGUACCAACUGGAUGAGCAGCGAACGGGUGAGUAACGCGUGGGGAAUCUGCCUUUGAGCGGGGGACAACAUUUGGAAACGAAUGCUAAUACCGCAUAAAAACUUUAAACACAAGUUUUAAGUUUGAAAGAUGCAAUUGCAUCACUCAAAGAUGAUCCCGCGUUGUAUUAGCUAGUUGGUGAGGUAAAGGCUCACCAAGGCGAUGAUACAUAGCCGACCUGAGAGGGGGAUCGGCCACAUUGGGACUGAGACACGGCCCAAACUCCUACGGGAGGCAGCAGUAGGGAAUCUUCGGCAAUGGACGAAAGUCUGAACGAGCAACGCCGCGUGAGUGAAGAAGGUUUUCGGAUCGUAAAACUCUGUUGGUAGAGAAGAACGUUGGUGAGAGUGGAAAGCUCAUCAAGUGACGGUAACUACACAGAAAGGGACGGCUAACUACGUG